UACGUAGGGUGCAAGCGUUGUCCGGAAUUAUUGGGCGUAAAGAGCUCGUAGGCGGCUUUCUAAGUCAGGGGUGAAAUCCUGGAGCUCAACUCCAGAACUGCCUUUGAUACUGGAGAGCUUGAGUCCGGAAGAGGUGAGUGGAACUCCGAGUGUAGAGGUGAAAUUCGUAGAUAUUCGGAAGAACACCAGUGGCGAAGGCGGCUCACUGGUCCGGUACUGACGCUGAGGUGCGAAAGCGUGGGGAGCAAACAGG
rnacentral:rRNA from 1 species